rnacentral:rRNA from 1 species
GACGAACGCUGGCGGCGUGCUUAACACAUGCAAGUCGAACGGAAAGGCCCCGCUCUUGUGGGCUGCUCGAGUGGCGAACCGGUGAGUAACACGUGAGUAACCUGCCCGUGCCUUUGGGUUAACUUCAGGAAACUGGGGCUAAUACCGGAUUGGAGCUCCUGCUGCAUGUUCGCUGUUGGAACGUUUAGGCGGUCGGGGAUGGACUCCCGGCUUAUCAGAUUGUUGGUGGGGUAGUGGCUGACCAAGGAUUUGACCGGUAGCCGGCCUGAGAGGGUGACCGGCCUGAUUAGGACUGGGAUACGACCCACACCCCUACGGGAGGCAGCAGUAGAGAAUAUUGCACAAUGCGCGGAAGCCAGAUGCAGCAGCGCCGCGACCGGGAUGGCGGCCUGCGGGUGGUAAACCGAGUUCGCCUGUGACGAAGCGUGAGUGAGGGUAAUAGGUAAAGGAGCACCGACUGACUACGUG